UAAAACCUCACUCUAUGCACAGUAGAUCUCCACUGCAGGGUUUAAGCCUGUCUGUCACUGUGAACCUUCAAAGCCAUGAAAAUUGAACGAAGCUCAUCGACCUGCAACAAUGCUCAUAUAACAGUAUAACACCUAUCCAACUGCCUAAUCACACAUAACCCCCCAGAAAAUGAGGUAUUUACAGUUCAUUUCGCGUAUUUACAAAUCGAUCCCGCAAAACCCUACCCCCAAUUUCCGCACAACCCUAAUCCAAUCCAAACUUCCACCUUCUCCAUCCUCGUGUUUGGUUGAUUCCACGCGCAAUUGCACCUCUUCUACGCAAGAAUCGAGGCCGGCACCGUCCGAGACCGUAGCGGGGAUCGUCGACGAGCUCGCGGGCCUCACGCUACUCGAGGUCUCGGACCUCGUGGAGGUCUUGCGGGAGAAGCUGGGCGUCGCUGAGAUGCCUACAAUGAUGGUGAUGAUGCCGGGGAUGGUUCCCGGAGGACUGAGGGGCGGGGCGGCAGCCAGGGGCGGGGCGGCGGCGAAGGCGGAGGAGAAGGCAGAGAAGACGGUGUUCGAUGUGAAGCUCGAGGGGUUCGACGCGGCGGCCAAGAUCAAGGUGAUCAAAGAGGUGAGGACGUUUACGGAUUUGGGGUUGAAGGAGGCCAAGGACUUGGUGGAGAAGGCGCCGACCCUUUUGAAGAAGGGGGUGACGAAGGACGAGGCAGAGAAGAUUAUCGAGAAGUUGAAGCAGAUUGGUGCUAAAGUUUCGAUGGAAUAAGGUCGCUCCAUUUUUGCAAGUUGGCAGUAGUUCUGUUGAUGGUGUGUAUUGAGUAAACAUGUAUAAUGGAGAAUGGAGUUUGCAUUACUGAGGUGCAAUGGGCGAUGGUUUUGUUCAUGGCGUUGGAGGAUAGACAAUCGUGAUUGGCUGUGAUCAUCGUCUCUUCCUAUCUGAAGCAAAAUUUGGUUUUCCAUAUAGAUGGCCAAAACAGUGUGAAGCAACUCUUCUUGCCUUCUGUUUCUUCUGGCUUAUUAUGGUUUUUGAGCAUGAAACUGAUCGAAAUGAGGUGCUGAAAGUCAUGGAGAAAUGAGAGGAAGGAUGUUCCUUACAAAAUGAUGUAGAUGAUGGUCAUAUAAGCAUGUUAUUGGCAGUAGAUCUAUUAGGCAAAUGAGGACUAUUAGUGGAAAUUGGGGCAAUCUGAACAUAAUCAAACAACCUUGUCGCAUGGCUAGUGGCAACAAAUACACAUCAUUUGCAUUUAACUUGGAAGAUUUGUUUAAAGUAUCACAUAAGCAGCUUCAUAACUGGCUAAUGUAUCAAGCCAACAAUGACUUGCCUGGGGGAAGUGGAUGAAAACCAAGAAAUGAGAGACUUUAUGGUAUGGAUUGUCAAGAUCAAGGGCAGCAGAUACUAAUGUGUCACACUUGAGUUGCUAUUGGCAAGUUAUAGAGAUCAGUUUUAGGUUUCUUCAUAAUUUGAGAACAUUCUUUGUUGUAGCUGCUUUGCAUUUUCUUCAACUUGGCAAGCACGAAUCCGAGCAAGUUUUGUUAUAUUGUUCCUACCUUGCAUUUUUUUCCCAUAAAGUGUUCCUGACAAUUCUUAA